rnacentral:lncRNA from 1 species
CAGCAAAGCAUCUGGAAAACAACAGAGCCUGAAGAAAACAUGAAUUAAAACUCUGGCUCUGAGUUUGCUCCUGAACAUUUGCUCCUGAAUCUCUACACCUGUAGAAAGUGACAGGCAACACAUUGUCGCUACUGCAGUGGCUACCCCGCAUUCCCAGUGAAAAUGCAUACGGACAGAACCCGCUCUGCGGAAAGGUCUAGCCUGCAUUCGUUAUAAUCUGUGACGAUUUAAAGGUCAUUAGGCAGCUUCCUGUUGCUGAAAAAACAACAUCAUCAAAUUCUUGAAGUAGAUAAACUUCAUGAGGCUGAACUAGGGAAAGAAUGGAGAAUGAAGCAAAAUACAGAUUCUGCAAUUGCAAGAAAGGGAGACCCUGCUGUUCCAGAARCAUCCAGGAAUGAAGCUGCAUUUGGUAGUGUUCUUACAAUUUUUAUUGGUGUGAAGAUCUUCUAUUACCUCUCUGUGUGGACAUCAAGAGAUACCAAAAGAAGACAGAGAACCGCUUUUUCCCCUAGAGAAAGGGAUGUGGAGGGCAAACUAUUGCAGAAGAAAAAAUUAUGUGAUCUCAAUUAUGUUUCCUCUGCCUGUUUCCAUGGCAUGAAUGUACUUGUGCACUGUGUAUCUGGAAAAAAACUCCAUUUACUGGGCAAUUUUACUCUUUGGAUUCUGGUAUACUGUUCCUGCUGGAGACUACUUAUUUCUGGGAUAUAUAAAAUUUCUGGGCAAUAUAAGACCAACAUUUUGGAAUGA